rnacentral:rRNA from 1 species
AACCAACAGGGAUUGCCCUAGUAACGGCGAGUGAAGCGGCAACAGCUCAAAUUUGAAAUCUGGCCUCGGCCCGAGUUGUAAUUUGCAGAGGAUGCUUUUGGCGCGGUGCCUUCCGAGUUCCCUGGAACGGGACGCCACAGAGGGUGAGAGCCCCGUAUGGUUGGACACCAAGCCUGUGUAAAGCUCCUUCGACGAGUCGAGUAGUUUGGGAAUGCUGCUCAAAAUGGGAGGUAAAUCUCUUCUAAAGCUAAAUACCGGCCAGAGACCGAUAGCGCACAAGUAGAGUGAUCGAAAGAUGAAAAGCACCUUGAAAAGGGGGUUAAACAGUACGUGAAAUUGUUGAAAGGGAAGCGCUUGUGACCAGACUUGCGCCUGGCGGCUCAUCCGGGGUUCUCUCCGGUGCACUCCGCCAGGCUCAGGCCAGCAUCGGUUCUGGCGGGGGGAUAAGAUCGGCGGGAACGUAGCACCCUCCGGGGUGUGUUAUAGCCCGCCGAACGAUACCCUCGCGGGGACCGAGGUUCGCGCUCCGCAAGGAUGCUGGCGUAAUGGUCAUCAGCGACCCGUCUUGAAACACGGACCAAGGAGUCGUCCAUUAUAGCGAGCGUUUGGGUGUAAAACCCGCACGCGUAAUGAAAGUGAAAUUAGGUGAGAGCUUCGGCGCAUCAUCGACCGAUCCUGAUGUUCUCGGAAGGAUUUGAGUAAGAGUUAUAACGGACGGACCCGAAAGACAGUGAACUAUGCUUGUAUAGGGUGAAGCCAGAGGAAACUCUGGUGGAGGCUCGCAGCGGUUCUGACGUGCAAAUCGAUCGUCAAAUAUGAGCAUGGGGGCGAAAGACUAAUCGAACUGUCUAGUAGCUGGU